AUUGAACGCUGGCGGCAGGCCUAACACAUGCAAGUCGAGCGGAUGAAGGGAGCUUGCUCCUGGAUUCAGCGGCGGACGGGUGAGUAAUGCCUAGGAAUCUGCCUGGUAGUGGGGGAUAACGUCCGGAAACGGGCGCUAAUACCGCAUACGUCCUGAGGGGGAAAGUGGGGGAUCUUCGGACCUCACGCUAUCAGAUGAGCCUAGGUCGGAUUAGCUAGUUGGUGGGGUAAAGGCCUACCAAGGCGACGAUCCGUAACUGGUCUGAGAGGAUGAUCAGUCACACUGGAACUGAGACACGGUCAAGACUACUACGGGAGGCAGCAGUGGGGAAUAUUGGACAAAGGGCGAAAGCCUGAUCCAGCCAUGCCGAGUGUGUGAAGAAGGUCUUCGGAUUGUAAAGCACUUUAAGUUGGGAGGAAGGGCAGUAAGUUAAUACCUUGCUGUUUUGACGGUACCAACAGAAGAAGCACCGGCUAACUUCGUG
rnacentral:rRNA from 1 species